UACAGGAAGUAUUAGAAAUAUAGAUGAGUAAUAGAAUAGUAAUAGAAUUAUAAAUGAUUUGCAAUUGUUUGAAUUUAAUAUUUUUAUUGCAGAUUGAUUUAAUCAUUGGGUUAAUUUAAUCAUGAUGAGCGAAAUUUUUCAAUUCAAUCGUUUCUGUUCGGAUCAUAUUGAAAAUAAUGAUCAUAUUGCUAUAUGAGAAAUUGGAUAUUCCGUUGGAAAUUGAGAAAUACUUUCGAAUGUAUCGUGACACGAUAUUAAGAGAAAGGUAGAUUUUAUAGAACGAAUAGGAGACCAAAUGCUAAGCCAGUAAUUGGUUAAAUAUUUUAUUUGAGGAAUCUUGGGAGAGAGGAUUCCCAGAAAUUGGCCGCUUCGAGCAAAUAUUGAAAUAGGCUUCGUAAAUGGUUCUGCUCGUUUAAAAGGAAACGUGGUGAUGCAACACGUACAACUUUCCAUCUGAUCCCAGAUUUCAUGUCGCAGAGAAAAAAAUCAGAAGAAAAAGAAA